rnacentral:rRNA from 1 species
CCUAGUACUGCGAGUGAAGCGGGAAAAGCUCAAAUUUGAAAUCUGGCGUGCCUCCGGCCGUCCGAGUUGUAGUCUGGAGAAGCGUCUUCCGUGCUGGACCGUGUACAAGUCCCUUGGAACAGGGCGUCAUAGAGGGUGAGAAUCCCGUCUUUGACACGGACUGCCAGUGCUCUGUGAUGCGCUCUCAACGAGUCGAGUUGUUUGGGAAUGCAGCUCAAAAUGGGUGGUAAAUUCCAUCUAAAGCUAAAUAUAGGCGAGAGACCGAUAGCGAACAAGUACCGUGAGGGAAAGAUGAAAAGCACUUUGGAAAGAGAGUUAAACAGUACGUGAAAUUGCUGAAAGGGAAACGCUUGAAGUCAGCCGUGUCUGCCGGGACUCAGCCAUGCAAUUUUGCUUGGUGCAUUUUCUGGUUAAAGACAGGUCAGCGUCGAUUUUGAUCAUCAGAAAAAGUCAAAGGGAAGGUGGCACCUUUCGCGAGGUGUGUUAUAGCCCUUUGUUGUAUAUGAUGGUCCAGGAUCGAGGACCGCAGCACGCCUUUUAUGGCUGUGAGGUGUUCGCGCACCUCAUACAACGUGCUUAGGAUGCUGGCUUUAAUGGCUUUAAGCGACCCGUCUUGAAACACGGACCAAGGAGUCUAACAUGCCUGCGAGUGUUUGGGUGGAAAAACCCGAGCGCGUAAUGAAAGUGAUAGUUGAGACCUCUUUUUUUGGGAGGGCAUCGACGCCUGGACCUGAUCUAUGGAGACGGUUCUACGGUAGAGCAUGUAUGUUGGGACCCGAAAGAUGGUGAACUAUGCCUGAAUAGGGUGAAGCCAGAGGAAACUCUGGUGGAAGCUCGUAGCGAUUCUGACGUGCAAAUCGAUCGUCAAAUUUGGGUAUAGGGGCGAAAGACUAAUCGAACCAUCUAGUAGCUGGUUCCUGCCGAAGUUUCCCUCAGGAUAGCAGAAACUCGUAUCAGAUUUAUGUGGUAAAGCGAAUGAUUAGAGGCCUUGGGGUCGAAACGACCUUAACCUAUU